GGAAAGGUGCUCGAGUGGUUUAAGAGGCACGCUUGGAAAGCGUGUGAGCUUCAAAAGGGCUCCGGGGGUUCGAAUCCCUUCCUUUCCG
rnacentral:tRNA from 2 species